CCCCGAGAGGACCGAGGCGCCCUGAGGGGGAUCGAGGCGCCCUGAGGGGCAUCAAGGCACCCUGAGGGGAGCAUGGCGCCUCAAGGGGGAUCGAGGCACCCUAAGGGGAUCAAGGAGCCUCGAGGGGGAUCGUGGCACCUUGAGGGACAUCGAGGUGUCCUGAGGGGGAUCACGACGCCCUGACGGGAUCGCGGCGCCCUGAGGGGGGGUCACAUCUUGUUACCUCCCCGUUUUUCCAGGCUGGGAGCAAGAGGGAAAGGAAAAGUCUGGUUCUGAGGGGAAGAGGACCAGGGGGCUUUGCUGGCGGGCAGCUGCCCUGCAGGCCGGCCCGGCACUGUGUGAGGGUCUCCGUGACUCGGGUGUCCCAAACGUGGGGAACAAAGUUAGACGUGCUGGUGGUGCUCGCCUGUGUCACGCUACCAAGCAGGAGCCACCGCGGUCAGAGCGGUGGAGAACAGCCUGAAGAUCCCUCCACCUUCUCCGCUGCACGCUUACCCCGUUGCCCGCCGCGCUUUCCAGGUUAACUAGGCUUUGCGGCCAGCGCCUCAUCGCUUUGAAUCACCCGUGGAGUUUUGGGGAGACGAGCUGAGCUGGGCCAACGGGGCGACAGGCCAAGCCGUGGUCCGCAUGUGCAGCAAGAGUGGCUGCGGUGUUUUGCAGCUAGCUCCAGGGACACUUCUUACCUGCGGCCUGCAGAAAUCUGCACCCAGGCAAAGAGUUACAGCCCGCCUUUAUCAAGAUCCCCUGGUUGCACACAAUUCCGCCCUUUUUAAGAAAAGAAGCAAACAGAGGAGCGAUGAGGCGCAGCUCGGCGCCAAGGGGACCGUCCCUCCCCGCGGCGGCGGGCUGCGAUGUGUUUGCGCAGCGGCAGAGGGUGCCAGCCGGCCGGGAGAGGCGUCUUCCUCGCUGGUGGUGUGACGGGACAGGAACUGCGUGCAGGAGCCCCGCGCUGCACGGCGGGGACGCGCAAGAGAUGAGCAGCCCCUGGUUACAUACUUAAAGAAAACAUCACGCCUGGCAGGUUUCACCGCGUGAUCACUCGUAUGGAAAUGCGCUUUACCUUUCCUGACCAGAUCGGGCUGGAGCCCUGCAGCGCGGCGAGACACCCCCGCGUCCCGGCACCGCGGAGAGCCUCGCCGAAGCGCCCGGAUCGGAGCCUGGCACCGCUCGGUGCAUCCGAGGUGCCCAGCGGCCCUGGCCGGCUCCACGCAGCACAGAACUAGGGAUAGGUUGCGUGUGCGCCUUGUGUGUUUCUUUCUUUUGUGUCUUUCUUGUGUAUUUCUUUCUUCUCCAUCACUCAGAUUUGGCUGAACCUCUUUUUUUAAUAAAAAUUAAAAUUAUUUUAAUAAAAAUUAAAAAAAAAA